GGUGAACGCUGGCGGCGUGCCUAAGACAUGCAAGUCGAGCGGGCCGCGGGGUUUUACUCCGUGGUCAGCGGCGGACGGGUGAGUAACGCGUGGGUGACCUACCCGGCAGAGGGGGACAACCCCGGGAAACUCGGGCUAAUCCCCCAUGUGGACCCGCCCCUUGGGGUGUGUCCAAAGGGCUUUGCCCGCUUCCGGAUGGGCAGGCGUCCCAUCGGCUAGUUGGUGGGGUAAUGGCCCACCAAGGCGACGACGGGUAGCCGGCCUGAGAGGGUGGUCGGUCAGAGAGGGACCGAGAUACGAGGCCCGCUCCUACGAGAGACAGCAGUUAGGUAUCUGCCGCAAUGGGCGCAAGACGGACGGAGCGACGCCGCGUGGAGGAAGAAGCCCUUCGGGGUGUAAACUGCUGAACCCGGGACGAAACCCCCGACGAGGGGACUGACGGUACCGGGGUAAUAGCGCCGGCCAACUCCGUG
rnacentral:rRNA from 1 species